rnacentral:tRNA from 1 species
GAAGCAGUAGCUCAGGGGUAGAGCUUCCGUUUCGUACGCGGGAAGACCUCGGUUCAAUUACCGGCUACUUUC